rnacentral:tRNA from 1 species
GCCUCUGUAGCUCAGUUGGUUAGAGCGCUGCACCGGAAUCGCAGGGCCGUAGGUUCAAUUCCUAUCAGAGGAC